AUGAGAAGGGCGUCUUCUGUCUCUCUCUCUCUCCCACCCCUCCCCCUCCCUCUCUCUCCUCUCUCUCCCUCCCCCCACUCCCUCCCCCAUCUCUCCUUCUUCCUCCCUCCUGUGUCCCCCCCCCGUCCCCUCUCUCCUCUCCUCUCCCUCUUCCCCCUCUCUCUCCCCUCUCUCCUUUCCCUCUCUCCCUUCUCUCCCUCUCCCUCUCUCCUUUUCUCUCCUCUCUCUCCCCCCUCUCUCUCUCUCCUCUCCCCUCUCUAUCCCCCCCACUCUCUCUCCUUUCCCUCUCUCCCUUCUCUCUCUCUCUCCCCCUCUCUCCCCCCUCCCCUCUCUCUCUCUCCCCUCUCUGCCCCCCCUUCCUACUCUCUCUCCUUUCUCUCUCCCCCCUCUCUCUCCCCCCUCUCUCCCCUCUCUCCCUUCCCUCUAUCUCUUCUCUCCUCUCUUUCCUCUCUCUCUCCCCCCUCUCCCUCUCCCCCCAUCUCUCUCCCCUCCCCCCUCCCCUCUCUCCCCUCUCUCUCUUCCCUCUAUCUCUUCUCUCCUCUCUUUCCUCUCUCCCCCCUCUCCCUCUCCUUUCAUCUCUCUCCCCUCUCUCUCUCCCCCCCCUCCUCUCUCUCGCCUCUCUCUCUCUCCCUUUUCCCCCCCUCUCCCCUCUCCCCCCUCUCUCUCUCCCCUCUAUCUGUUCUCUCCUCUCUCUCUUCCCUCUCCCUCUCUCUCUCCCCGCUCUCUCUCCCCCCUCUCCUCUCUCUCCCUUUUCUCUCUCCUCUCUCUCUCUCUCUCCCCUCUUCCCUCUCUCUUCUCUCUCCCCCCCUUCUUUUCCUCCCCUCUCUCUCCCUUUCUUCCCCUCCUCCUUCUUUUCCUCCCCCCCCCGUCUCCCCCCUUCCUCUCUCCCUCCCUUCCCCUCCCCCCUUCCCCUCCCCCCCCACCCCUCCCUCUCUUUCUCCCCCCCUUCUCCCUCUCUCUCCCUCCCCCUCCUUCUUCCUGCCCCCUUCUCUCCCCCCCUCCCUCCCUCUCUCCUUCCCUCCAUUGCCCUCUCUCUCCCCCUCUCUCCCUUUCUCCUCUCCCUUCCUCCCUCUCUCCAUGGCUCAGUGGCAAGUACCCGGGCUUGGGAGUCCGAGGGCAUGGGUUCGAAUCCCCGCUCUGCCACUUGCCAGCUAUCUGACCUUGGGCAAGUCACUUCACUUCUUUGGGCCUCAGUGA
rnacentral:lncRNA from 1 species